AACAAAUAAAGGAGCAGCGAGUAGGACUCAAUCCAACAUACUGCUCCAUGAGGAAAAUGCCCCACGUGAUCACACAAACUACAACAAAAAGGACACACAAACCAGGGCAUCAGUUUUAGCUCCGUGUACCUCAUACACUGACGACUGGGUUUGUAAAUAACAGCGUUUGAACAAAACGUCUGCUGGUUAAGUCGUAAUGAGCAGGAAACACCCGUCCAUUCUCGCUGGGGCUCGCGGGGCUUUGUUACCCGGAGACUCGUCCGUCAGGUCACACUUCCGGUCUGUGCGUCGCCUUCAACAAUGACGCCUUUCGCCACACGAACGAACCGUUUAUUACAGCUGCAGCAGGUCUAGAACAUCUGCCAGAACAAUAGCCGUAUUAGCCGGAUGUUCGAUUAGUUGUUCUAGCUGGGAGGGGGGGGGGGGCAGGGGUUUAGUCCACGGCGCGAGGAGUCGAGCCGAUUCGCUCCCACCUCCGAACGUUUCCGAUCUCUACCGAUCUCUUGCAGCGGCGGUUGUGCUUCCGCUUUCUUUUCUUUUUUUUUUUUAUCUGCGUGUCAUUCUCGCGUCCACUCCGUCCGUCUCUGACAGUAUUUCCAUCAUGGUGGACAUUUUGAUGUUGAUGUUUUUCGCCGUCGUCGGCCUCGUCUUCCUCUCCUAUAUCAUCUACUUGCUGUGAUGAUGAUGAUGAUUGAUGAUGAAGAUGAAGCGUCCUUCUCGGCCACACAAACGGUGCCUGCACAGGCGUUCACGGGAUGUGUGUUUUAACCCUGUGCGACAUCGCUGGCUUCCAUCAUGGACAAUGGAUGACGACCCGAGUCCAGUAAUGGUUUCCCCAUGGGAGCUUUCCCGUAGGAGGGGCACUGCAAUCCGGCUGAUGGAAACUAAUGGAGGAGGAGUGGGAGGCCACACUCCUCCUCCUCCUCCUUUAUUGGGUCAAGAUCCUCCUACAAAAUGUCACUGCUCCCAGAGCUCUCCCACUUACGUACAAUCCAUCUAACCAGUGUGUUAUCUAUGCUACUCAAGGUUGUGAUUGUCUCUCUUUAGAGGGGGGGGGGGCAUGUCACCUCUGCACAAGUUCCAAAAAUCCAUCAAUAUGGUUGCAGGACGGUUUUGUAAUUUUGAGCGUAAGACGGGUGUAGUAUUUGCCUUUCGAACACUUUUUAGUUCCAACUCUAAUGUCUUAUGUUUGGUUGGUCGACAUAUAUUAACGUUUUUGACCAACCCUUGAUUUGCCUUUGUUGAGUCAGCCUUCACAUCAGUGUGAACAUAUAACUUUAUUCACAUGUUGCCAAUGUGUUUUUCUUCCCACCUAUGAUCAAGGACUCUGUCUCUACCAAGGAGAAUAGUUCAGUUAUAUAACCAAGUGUUCUGUACAUUAACUAUGUUUGUCUGUCUUUGUUUAUAACGUUGGCUGCGAAUAACAUCACCGUGAGGCAGUGAUGUCAUUUCACAAAUAUAUAUCAUGCGCUUCUUAGUUUCCCAACCAAACCUUAUUUAAAAUGUGUUACCUACCAAUGAUGUUACGUUUACUGAUGUACUGAUGAUUUACCGAGGUUAAUGACAGUAUUACACAUGACAUGUUUGAUAAAGAGGAUUUCAGUAAUCCCAGUUUCAAUUCAUUCCAACGCUAUGUUAUUUUAGUUUUGGCUGUCGUCCGUAAUCAUUCGUUUCUGCAGCAGAAAGCAUCGUCCAAUUGAAAUGCUCAAAUAAUGCUUAAAGUUUGAGUGAGCUAUGAGACUGCAUUUAAAGAGUUACUGUACUAAAUGAGUUUCUGACCUUAAGGGAGGGAGAACUCUGCAUUGAGCACUCUUAAGUCCCUGGCCGUGUCCUUAUAUUAGAUUGUCAUUUAGGGGCCUCAAUAAUCAUCACUGAAAAAUACACUGGAUACUUACUUUGGACAUAAUCUCAUUCAACUCUCUCCGAUGCAUGUGGA